GAGAAAGCCCCUACCCAAACUCAGUUACUGAGUCACCCUUCUACUCCCGACGGAAGUGCAGUCCACCCUUCAGAAACCUGAGCAGCUGUCCUGCACCUUUCCUGGAGGUUCAUAUCCUUCCUGAGCUGUGCCCACAGUGAGUGAUAAGCAAAUCUGGUGCAGUCCUAUUCUCCUGGAGCUAAAGUCUACAAGGGAAGAGAGACAACUAAGUAACUACAGAGGAGCCCUUGGGGUAUACAAUAUGAUGAUGUUCAUCACUGGGAAUUUGUACAAAGUUUGAGGCACCCACACUCCAACUUCCUGAGCAUAAGAAGAAGCUGACGGGGAGUGGCUCUAUGCUUUUACAGCUACAGUGACAGUCUCUCAGGAGUAGCUCCCAUGAUGAAUCAGUUUUCUGUCUCUGGAGAUCAUCCAGGAGGCCUGGUCUGGAACUUGACUGGUUCCUUAUAGCCUUUUAAUAAAUUUCAAUAGAUUUCACUCUCUGGAUUAAAUCCCUUCCUGCUUGAAAUUAUGAAAUUAAUUUCUAUUUCCUCCACUGAAGAAGAGGCCCCAUAGAAAGGCAGGAGGGGAGUUGCCUGGGAAAGGCCAAUUAACUUGUAGUGAAGAAAUGUGACAUUGUCAUCUGGGAUUUCCUUUGGUGAAUGCACUCACGCCUAGGUUAGGCCCUUGGCUCCUCAUCUUAGGACGAGAUCUUCUAGAGUUUACGGUACUAGAAUGCUGACUUAUGCUAACAGAGCUCUCAAAAAGAAGAUUUAUGAAACCAGACUGAUGAUUUCAUAAUUUACAGUGAAGAAUGCACUGCCAAGAAGACCAAAUGCAAGUAUUAGCCUGUCAGCACUUUUCUUGAUUGUGGUCCAUCUACAUGGGAACUCCAGUUUUCAAAGUCUAUGCAGUGAGUGGGCACAGAAAGCGUCACAACAGGGAUGAACUUGUUCCAGAUCAAACUAACCAGGAUCCUGGACAUGCUCUUCCCUGGACAGUGCUUGAAUGAAUUUUCCAAAAUGGUGUCUCUGUGUUCCUGUUUUCUGGGAUUCUAUGGAGACCAACUUCCCUUCUACCCUAAACACGAAAU
ensembl:lncRNA